UAAAAGCCGAGCAGGCGAGAGGCUGAGUUGCAGAGGAGUGGAAGGGAAUCCACUGGAACAACCUCUGCCACCUCCGAGCCUGCUCAGCCAGCCUCUCUCUGCCCACCGAGCAGCGACCGCGGACCAAAGACACUCCGGACUUCGAAGCCAGCCAUAGCAAUUUGCCAUGCGAGGAGCAAGACACAAGCUCAUCGUGACCUGGAAGAAGUUUCCCAACUAGGGCAUGUCAAUCAAGCCGGAGGGCCCCGCCCGGCACCGCUCCGCGCUCGGGCCCCACGUCGCAGCUGGCUUGGCGGUUUCUGGAAGCUGGCUCGAGGCUCGAAGGUCUCGAGCGACCCUCCGCUCGGCUGUGCCCUAGCAGCACGUCAAAACUGGAGUCAUCUACCUAAAUCCUCCAGUAUUGCCUUGCUGCUUGAGUGAAGUAGGAGCCUAAUUCAUUUCUCUACACGGAAGACCCCGACCCGGCGACCUCGAGGAAGUCCAAGCAAGCUUAAGAACGCAAGACAUCCUGGGCUCUCGAGGAGCCUGGGAAUGAAUGUAUUUGUGUCCCACCCCCAAUAAAUGUUCUCCCCUUUUUGA